rnacentral:miRNA from 1 species
UGAGCAUGGUAGAGACAAUGAUG